CUAUGGAAAAUAAGAAGGCCUGGAAAUUUCUUAAGCGUCUAAGGGCUGACAUCUUCGACCAAGUGGACAUUAUGUGGCUAAACACCUAAGUUGAAGCACUCAAGCAUGCUCAAUUUACUGAGGAACUUCUUGUUGCCCAUUACUGGCACAUUUAUAAUGUCAGAGCAUAACACUAAUAGGAAAUGAAGCAGAUCAACCAAGGUCGUGCUGACAAACGACCUAGAAUGGCUAUUGUCUGUAGAUAUUUCCUUAUCUUCGCCUCCUCGUAAUCCUUCUCAGCCUAGUCAAACAUGCUAGCACUGUGGUCGAAACCAUGGUGACCGACCAUACUAUAAGUGG
rnacentral:lncRNA from 1 species